rnacentral:rRNA from 1 species
UAGGGAAUCUUCCACAAUGGNGAAGCCUGAUGGAGCAACGCCGCGUGUGUGAUGAAGGGUUUCGGCUCGUAAAACACUGUUGUAAGAGAAGAAUGACAUUGAGAGUAACUGUUCAAUGUGUGACGGUAUCUUACCAGGAAGGAACGGCUAAAUACGUGCCAC